rnacentral:pre_miRNA from 1 species
AGCCAACGCAAACUGGCGUGUCUCAGCCAUCUCUGGGCAAGUAUCUCUAAGAGUGGCUCACUCUCAAGCAGGACUAGGAGG